GCGGUCUGGGUCUGCUAGGUGAAGAUUCUCCCCUGUCACGGGAGAGACGACGGGUUCGAAUCCCGUAGAUCGCGCCA
rnacentral:tRNA from 1 species